rnacentral:rRNA from 1 species
AGAACGAACGCUGGCGGCAUGCCUAACACAUGCAAGUCGAACGCUCUUGAGGCUUCGGUUUCAAGAGAGUGGCGCACGGGUGAGUAGCGCGUGGGAACCUGCCCUGUUGUGGGGGAUAACCGAGGGAAACUUCGGCUAAUACCGCAUGCGCCCGGGGGAAACCCCGGGGAAAGAUUUAUCGCAGCAGGAGGGGCCCGCGUCGGAUUAGGUAGUUGGUGGGGUAACGGCCCACCAAGCCUGUGAUCCGUAGCUGGUCUGAGAGGAUGAUCAGCCACACUGGGACUGAGACACGGCCCAGACUCCUACGGGAGGCAGCAGUGGGGAAUAUUGGACAAUGGGCGCAAGCCUGAUCCAGCAAUGCCGCGUGAGUGAUGAAGGCCUUAGGGUUGUAAAGCUCUUUCGCCCGCGACGAUGAUGACGGUAGCGGGAGAAGAAGCCCGGCUAACUUCGUGCCAGCAGCCGC